rnacentral:lncRNA from 1 species
AUUCCCUCAGACCAUGCUAAUGGAGAAGUGAUCCACACCUACAGCUUUGGGAAGAGAAGUGCUCAACACUGAUCCCAGAGGAUGUGCCACUCACCAGGAAGCAGGAGAAGCAGAGCAGAUCCACAUGGAGCCCCAGAAUUAAGGGAGCCAUUCAUCUCGAGCUGAUUUGCAAGGAUAAACUGGAGCUGGGAGAGCAGCACUGACUCAGCUCAGCGUUCCUGGGCUCCUCCAGGGCUGCUCCAGGCAGGCAUCUUCAGGAAAGCCGCUCUGAAUUGACUUCCAAAUGAGAGUAAUUAAAGCAAACGAGGCCUUUGCAGGGAAGAGCUGCUGGCUGGAUGAUGCACUCGGCUCAAGGUAAUUGUCCCAGGGCAGAUCUCACGCUGUGGCG